GCCUAAUAGCUCAGUUGGUUAAAGUGUGGUGCUGAUAACACCAAGGUUGCAGGUUUGAUCCCCGUAUGGGACA